CCUACGGGAGGCAGCAGUGGGGAAUAUUGGGCAAUGGAGGCAACUCUGACCCAGCAACGCCGCGUGAGCGAUGAAGGUCUUCGGAUUGUAAAGCUCUUUAAGCGGGGACGAAGAAAGUGACUGUACCCGCAGAAUAAGCCUCGGCUAACUACGUGCCAGCAGCCGCGGUAAUACGUAGGAGGCAAGCGUUAUCCGGAAUGACUGGGCGUAAAGGGAGCGUAGACGGCAAUGCAAGUCGGAAGUGAAAUACCCGGGCUCAACCUGGGAACUGCUUGGGAAACUGUAUGGCUAGAGUGCUGGAGAGGUAAGCAGAAUUCCUAGUGUAGCGGUGAAAUGCGUAGAUAUUAGGAGGAACACCAGUGGCGAAGGCGGCAAACUGGACAGUAACUGACGUUGAGGCGCGAAAGCGUGGGGAGUAAACAGGAUUAGAUACCCCGGUAGUC
rnacentral:rRNA from 1 species